GCAAGUCGAACGAUGAAGCCCAGCUUGCUGGGUGGAUUAGUGGCGAACGGGUGAGUAACACGUGGGUGAUCUGCCCUGCACUCUGGGAUAAGCCUGGGAAACUGGGUCUAAUACCGGAUAUGACCUCUUGCUGCAUGGUGAGGGGUGGAAAGUUUUUCGGUGCAGGAUGAGCCCGCGGCCUAUCAGCUUGUUGGUGGGGUAAUGGCCUACCAAGGCGACGACGGGUAGCCGGCCUGAGAGGGCGACCGGCCACACUGGGACUGAGACACGGCCCAGACUCCUACGGGAGGCAGCAGUGGGGAAUAUUGCACAAUGGGCGAAAGCCUGAUGCAGCGACGCCGCGUGAGGGAUGACGGCCUUCGGGUUGUAAACCUCUUUCAGCAGGGACGAAGCGAAAGUGACGGUACCUGCAGAAGAAGCACCGGCCAACUACGUGCCAGCAGCCGCGGUAAUACGUAGGGUGCGAGCGUUGUCCGGAAUUACUGGGCGUAAAGAGCUCGUAGGCGGUUUGUCGCGUCGUCUGUGAAAUCCCGCAGCUCAACUGCG
rnacentral:rRNA from 1 species